UGGAACCACGAAAAUUUAACUAUCCCAAUUUUAAUACUACAACUUAAACCCCAGGUGAAGAUGCCUGUAUUCAAUUGAAAGACACGAAGACCCUAUAGAUUUUCAGCUGGAUCGGUUUUAUAAACUACACCACCUUUAGUUGGGGCGACUAAGGAUCCCACAUACCAUCCUUCAAUAAACCGAACAAUAAUUCACUAAAACAUCUUUAUACCUAAUAAACAAAAUAAAUUACCUUAGGGAUAACAGGCUUAUCUUCCUAAAGAGUUCAAAUUGCAAGGAAGGUUUGGCACCUCGAUGUUGGCUUAGAGUAACCUAUUAAAGCAGAAACUAAUAC
rnacentral:rRNA from 1 species